rnacentral:lncRNA from 1 species
GUUAAGGCACUGCAUUGAUUUGUCAAAUUAUAUAUACAAGCAAGCAGUAAUGUCAGUACCUUUCAUUCCAGGAUAAUGGGAGCACUACAAAAUAUUUGUUGCAAAAAGGAGUCCAUUCCGAAGAAAUGCAAACCAAUGGUCUGGAUUCAUGCUGCUUUCUGCUUAUUUCCCUGUUAUGCACCCUGAGCCUUUAGUCAAACCCAGCUGGGUCUAGGCUCCAGCUUUGAUAUCUAUAGAGAAAUGUUGUUCCCCUCUAGAGUCAGAGUAACAGGAAGGGGGCAGCUCUAUCCUGUCCAGGCUCCUGUCCCAGCAGCAGCAUCUAUAGAAAAACUUCUGCCUCAAGGAGAAAGGGGGGCUUCAGGAUCAGAGUCAGGGCUGUCAGCCACCUGCCACAGACUCCCCUGUAUAGCUCACAUCCCCAAGGAGCCCCCCAGGAGCUUCACCUUCCAACACCAGCCUCAGGGGUACUAGAUCUGGGUUGGAUGGGAUGGUGGUGUUUCCCUGUGCACGGCGUCAAACUCAGAACUGAACCAGCAUAUCCUUGGGUUUAGAAGUAAACGUUCUGACUUUGAAGGAUUCCUACUUGCUCCUUUUUGGGGGGACUAUGCACACACCUGGGAAUCUCAGCACAGCCAGACAUUAGCAGCUCUUCCUGUUCGCCCACUUCUCUAGCUGUGAGGACAGAACCCCACCGGCUGCAUCAUGUGUGACCACCUCCCUCUAACUGAUGACAAAGCUUUUCCAACUCAAAACCUCAUGCUUGCCUCUCUCCGCACAUGCAUCUGAUAUAAACAAUGCAAAUCACUUUUAAUAACCUGUUUGGAAAAGGAGGCCUGUUACAACAUAAAUAUAUACUGUUUUAUAUAUAUACAUGUUGGACUUCUACAAUCUGGGGUUCAGGAGGAUCCCAAGGAGCAAGGAGGAUCCAUGAGGAGACAUGGGACAUAGUGUGCUGGGUAGAGCCUUAGACCCACAGUAUGUGCUGGUUACAACUUAAUUCUCAUCAGCGUGGUGACAGAGGAUAUUCUCCCAAAUUAUGUGGCAUUCAGUGCCUCACAUGAAAGAGGGAGCUCAUGACUGAGCUUCAUCAUUGAUGAGAAACUUAAUGUACAUUAACUAUGUCAGGAUGACAUACACUCUAGAAAUGGACCCCAGAAUCAUCAGCAGGCCAAGGCCCUGAGUCAUCUAGCCUCCAAGUCCCUAACCUGUCUCAGCAUGUCACCUGCCCCCAGCCCAGGCUCCAUCUCCCCACCCCUGAAUCACCAGCUCAUGCCAAUGACAGCCAGCACCCAGCAAGCAAUGUUGACCUUCAUAAUCAAAUCCUACUCCACCAGCUCUAUUCUGGUGGGCUUGCACCUGGAAGAUGGGCAGUGGGGACCAAGGGGAAGGAGAAAGAUGAAUCAAAGGAAAUCUCCACCCCAGCCCUGCAUCUUCACAAGGCAAUGAGCUGGGUUCUAGGGAACUCCAGCCAUCAUGUACCCAACAACCCUCUGCUAGACCCUGAACUACUGGGAACACAGGAUGAGGACGUCACAGACUCUGAACUCAAGGAACAGACAGUUGAGUGAGGAGGAAGCAGGUGGGCAAUCUGGUAAAUUCCCCCAUAUGGGAGCUGUGUCAUGGAGGUUGGGGGUAAGAAUAUCUCCCAAGCAGUGCCCAGGGGUGGGUUCUAGAAUAGGCAGCAGGCUACCAGGCAAGGCGGAGUGUGCACUGGCACAGGGGCACAGGAAGGCUCAUGGGGCAGGGAACUGGAGUUCCCAUUGUGGUUCAGCAGUCACAAACCCAACUAGUACCCAUGAGGAUGCGGGUUCAAUCCCUGGCCCCACUAAGUGGGUUAAGGAUACAGCAUUGCCAUGAGCUGUGGUGUAGGUCGCAGACGAGGCUCAAAUCCUGUGUUGCUGUGGCUGUGGCCUAAGCCAGCAGCUGCAGCUCUGAUUGGACCCCUAGCCUGGGAACUUCCAUAUGCUGCAGGUAUGACCCUAAAAAGACAAAAAAAAGAAGAAGAAGAAGAAGAAGAAGAUUCAUUCAUCUGCCAGGAACAGGUGGGCACCCACUAAGGGCCUUUUGAGAUAGGCCAAGGAAAGUGGACCGGAAGUGAGGAAGGAAGGCAUUUUGAGCGGGGGGAGGGGGGAAGAUUUGGUGUGUGUGUGUUUGGAAGAGCCACCAAGGGCUGUGUAGAGUUGAAUUGAAAGAGGAUUCAGUCCACAGGCUGGUAGGAUACCGAAAUGCAGUCAGACAAGGAGAAUCCAAAUGACCAAGUGCUCACCAAACAGUGGGGGUCCUUACUGCUCCACUCCUUACUGCUCCCCCCACCACUGUCCUGAGUUGGCUACAGUAGAAAGACCAGAGUCAGGGGUAUAGUGUCUGCCAUAGGAAGCAAGGACCUGAGACAAGGACAUCCCAGGACACUGAAGAACACAGCAGAACAACAGAUAAGGAUCAGUGUUCUACAGGCUGCUGAGUCAGAAGCACUGGCAGCCACUCAGGAGAGGCCCUGCCCUGCCUUUAAGCAGAUGCAGUCCAUCUGGAGAAGCAGGUGAGUCCUUGUGACUAAUGGAGGGGAGACACUGGGCUGAAUACCCGUAUCCAGGCAGCAUUUCUGUGCUUGAGUCUGAGCACCCCCAGUCUAUACAUCUGAGGCUCUCGCAUCACCAUGGACCACGGCCCCCUUUCUCGCCUACUCAGGUGUUCACAUAGGUUCACUGGCGAUUGGCAGGGCUCAGGGUCCCCAGAAAUCAAGGCUGCUGUGGUUCUGGGAGAGGGGAUGUCCAAGUGCACUGCUUCACCUGCCCCCACAAAAGCCACCCACAGCAAGGACCAGGCUGUCUCCAUGCCAGAGUCCAAGAGUGAAAAGACAUCAAGACCCACCAGGACCAGCAGCCAGCAUGGGCAGGAGCCCAGCCUUUUAAGGAUCUGUAGCUGCCACUGCCAGCGUUCAGAUGACAGAAGGUGUAUCUCCUAAACUCAUCCCUGGAGGGCCUCCACAAUUCGGACACAGGAGCUAAAUCACUCUAAUAUGGAUUGAGUGCCCUGACAGAGACCCAUCUGCUUCACACAGCCCCACACCCCCAAGACUGCCACCCUGCCCAAAAUGCCACCAGGGUACAAAUGUAUAAGCUUACGGCUACAUGGGUACAUUGCCCUCUAAAUGCACAUGUUGCCAAGUGAAAUUACGCAUCCUGUCCCAUUACCUUAGUUUACAGGAAUGUCAGUGUUUCCUCUCUGAUAAGAUGAUGUAAGUAGAGCUUUAGGGCACCAUGCCCUAUGGACAAGGAUGGGGAGGGGGCAGUCAUAACUCCAAAUUUCCUCUAUGGAGGCCCAUUUGGUUGGAAGUAUGAAACACAGGUGACUUGUUUUGAAGCUGUGGCUGCACAAUGAGCUCUCUGUCUUUAGUAAGAGUAAGCGGUUCUGAUCCACAGAAAUAGCCAAGUUUCCUAAAGACGCUUCUAUUCACAUUUCCCAUUAGAUUGAGAAAAUAAAUUGUAAAAUUAGGAGGAUAAAUGAUUCUCACCAUUAUUGGUAGAAUUUUCAGGAGUGGCUUCUAAGGAGCAGCCCAACCCCACCUCCAGAAGCAGUC